AUUGAACGCUGGCGGCAUGCUUUACACAUGCAAGUCGAACGGUAACAGGCCGCAAGGUGCUGACGAGUGGCGAACGGGUGAGUAAUGCAUCGGAACGUGCCCAGUCGUGGGGGAUAACGCAGCGAAAGCUGCGCUAAUCCCGCAUACGAUCUAUGGAUGAAAGCGGGGGACCGUCAGGCCUCGCGCGAUUUGAUCGGCCGAUGUCAGCUUAGGUAGUUGGUGGGGUAAAGGCUCACCAAGCCGACGAUCUGUAGCUGGUCUGAGAGGACGACCAGCCACACUGGGAGUGAGACGCGGCCCAGACUCCUACGGGAGGCAGCAGUGGGGAAUGUUGGACAAUGGGCGCAAGCCUGAUCCAGCAAUGCCGCGUGCAGGAAGAAGGCCUUCGGGUUGUAAACUGCUUUUGUACGGAACGAAACGGCUCUGGUUAAUACCCGGGGCUAAUGACGGUACCGUAAGAAUAAGCACCGGCUAACUACGUGCCAGCAGCCGCCGUAAAAC
rnacentral:rRNA from 1 species